GGGAGCGCCGAGUCAGAAGAGAGCUAAAAUGGCGGAGGUUGUGAGUCCCUGCUUUGACUCUGUUUGCAAACUCUUGUUUCAUUGUUUAAGCGAUUAAAUCUCUCGAGUAGACGCUGUCUCUUUAGAUGCGAGGGCAAAAUAGCACUUUAUGGACUUCCACAGAGGACAUCAUGUUUAAUACGGUUCCGGAAAAAUCCAGUCAGAAGUUGUUCACGGAGUUUUCACAAUAACUGCUUCUCAUGAACCGAAGCUGGAUUUGCGCGACGUCUCCUCUUGAAAGUUGGAUUACUGUGCACUUCUGGAUCACAGACUAUUCGCAGCUGUACACAUCCUUCUACACUGUAUGCAAACAUGCAACAUCAUUACACACAGUACAAGGAGUCAGACUGGCAUAUGAGGAGCAAAGGAACCCAGGCAGUAGCAUCGUUUCACAAUGUUUCCAUCACCAUCAUCAGUGGAUGCCUUUGCCGUCCUUAGCCUGAGAUUUCAGAUUUGCAGCAAAAAAAAUUUGAUUUUCUCAUUUAUUGGAAUGCUGUGCAGGUAUUUGUACCUUGCAGCCAUCCAUUACAAUGUCACCAAGCCGUAACAAAAGCAGGAGAGGAAAAGUACAAGGCUAUGUUCCCAAAACACAAAUGACAUACCUUAUGUGGAGGAUGUGAUCAGGCUUGUGUUUGAUGAGGUAUUUGAAGAUAAGCUGAAGGAAACCCCGAUUCCAAUGGACCUGGCAUCACAGUUUGAGAGACCUUCAAAGGAGGACGUGAUUGCAUGCCAUCUUCAGUGCAGGGGUCGUCGAAAGCCAAAAUUGUGACCGAUCUGAUCAGGAAGCUCCAAGCGUAUCUGGAGAACAACACACGACAGGAUGAUAACCUUAUAGUGUCGUCUUAAAUAGCACCAGCUGACAAAGCUUUGAUAUGCCAUUUAUCUGAAUAGAUAGCUGUAAGAAAUGAAUUGAACAAUUUUUGAAAGAAGAGCACAAUAUGGUUACUAAAGUAUGUUUAUUUGUAUAUUGUUUAACAUUUAAAUAUAUAUUUGUAAUAAAUAAAAAAAACUUUUGACUGACUAUUA